rnacentral:rRNA from 1 species
UUUUCCAAGUAGCGGCGAGCGAACGGGAAAUAGCCUAAACCAUACAUAUGUGAUAGCCCGGAAGCGUUGUAUGUAUGGGGUUGUGGGAUCUUAAUAGAGACUGUUUCGGAGGUUUCGGAGAGUUACAAAACUGAUUAUUAAUCAAACAAUCUGGAAAGUUUGGCCAUAGAGGGUGAUAGCCCCGUAGAUGAAAAUAAUGAGUCUCUCUUUUAAGACACCCGAGUACUGCGGAACACGAGAAAUUCUGUGGGAAUUAGU